AAAAACGGACGCAACUAACUGGCCGACGCUACACCGUGGUCUUUCCGGGUCCUUCCCCGCUUAGACCGUACUCCUGCGGGUCCCGGCCCUGAAGGCGAGCCGGAAAGGACCGUCUACUAAGAGAAGAAAUGCAUAAAAACAGCUGGCAGAAUAGAAGACGUGGGAGAAGGAGCAACCAGCAGAACCCUCGGUUCAGGCAACAGGGUUCUGACGAGAGGCAAGUGCUGCUACCCGGGACCACGCGAGCCCUGUGGCGGCCUCAGGGGUAACUCAGUGACACAGCAGAGCUCACAGGAUUCUGGCCAUGUCGGCGAUGACGAGGCCCCAUCGACCUCAUCCGGCACAGCUGGGAGUUCUUCCGUGCCAGAUCUGCCAGGGUAUUACUUUGACCCUGAAAAGAAACGAUACUUCCGCUUGCUCCCUGGACAUAACAACUGCAACCCCCUCACAAAGGAGGGCAUCCGGCAGAAGGAGAUGGAAAGCAAAAGGCUGCAGCUGCUGGAGGAAGAAGACAAGCAGAAAAAG